UACGGGGGGAGCAAGCGUUGUUCGGAUUUACUGGGCGUAAAGGGCGCGUAGGCGGCCAGUGCAAGUCAGUUGUGAAAUCUCCGAGCUUAACUCGGAAAGGUCAACUGAUACUGCUCGGCUAGAGUGCGGAAGGGGCAACUGGAAUUCUUGGUGUAGCGGUGAAAUGCGUAGAUAUCAGGAGGAACACCGGUGGCGAAGGCGGGCUCUGGGCCGUAACAG
rnacentral:rRNA from 1 species